UUGCUUUUGGUAAAAUUGCCAUUUUUACUAUGUUAGUCCUGCCUAUCCAUGAGCAUGGGAGAUCUUUCCAUUUUCUGACAUCUUCUUCAAUUUCUUUUUUGAGGGAUUUAAAGUUCUUGUCAUAUAGGUCCUUCACUUGCUUGGUUAGUGUUACCUCAGGGUAUUUUAUGUCAUUUGUGGCUAUUGUAAAUGGCGAUAUAUCUCUGAUUUCCUUCUCAGCCUAUUUGUCAAUUGUAUAUAGGAGGGCUACUGAUUUUUUUGAGUUGAUCUUUUAUCCUGCUAUGUUGCUGAAGGUGUUUAUAAGCUGUAUCAGUUCCUUGGUUGAAUCUUUGGGGUCACUCAAGUAUACUAUCAUGUCAUCUGCCCUUCAACUGAAGAAUGGAUAAAUAAAAUGGGGUACAUAUACACAAUGGAAUACUAUUUAGCAGAGAAAAACAAUGACAUCAUGAGGUUUUCAGGCAAAUGGAUGGAUCUAGAAAAAAUCAUCGUGAGUGAGGUAACCCAGACUCAGAAAGACAAAUAUGGUAUGUACUCACUUAUAGGAGGAUACUAGAUGUGGAACAAGGAUGACUGGACUGCUACUCACAUCACCAGGGAGACUACCUGGAAAACAGGAACCCAAUAAAGACACGGGGAUCCCUCAAUGACUGAGAAAUGGAUGAGAUCUACACAAAGAGCCUGGACAUGAGUGGAGAUGGAAAAAUAGUGACUUCGGAUGUCUAUUGAGGUGGGGACACAAAACAGUAUUCUUGGAUUCAUGGAUACAGAUAACUGUAGUCCUCUUGCCUCACCAAGGAAACUUGUCUUUGCAACAGACAGGGGACCAUUACAGACAACUAUGACUAUCAAAAUGCAGAAUUGUGGACCCCAGUUCCAAAGGAUGCAUACGCAAUGCAACUGCUCCACCUAAGGCUCAUGGAAGACUGUGGAAGAGGGGGUAGAACGAUUUUAAGUACCAGAGGAUUGGGGAGAUUUCUGUGAGAUGAUGUCUCCUAGUAAUGUCAGAAACUACACCCAUAAAGUCUCUCCAACAUGUCUGCCUAUGCAUAAUCUGAACAAGGACAUCAACAAUGCGCUUGCUAAAAUAGACAGGGAAAAGACCAGAAUGGUUUCCCUACACAAAGAACUGCAGGCAACUAUGUAAUGUUGAGAACACAAGAAAUAGUCUUCAUCAGAGAAAAGCAGAGCAAUUGGUCUAAGUAAAGAUACACAGUGACAUUAGCAAGACUGAUUAAAAUCAUGGUACAAUUAUAACUUAUUUACAACUGAAUAAUUUAACAUAAUUUGAAAAGGGACUUUAAGGUGCUAUAAAGUUAUGUAAAUAAAAUAACUAAGCUAGGCUUUUAUUUAUACCUGCAAAAAAGUGGAAAAAUAUACCUAGCUAAUGUGUGAUAAUCAGCUAAGCUAAUGUGAGGAUAAAUGUCUUUAUAAUCUUUAUUGAUAUAAUAAUCAAAGUGAUUAAUCAGUUAUUCAGCAAUCAAUGAAUAUCACCAUCAAAGAAAAGCACUUUUCCAAUUCUUGAAUAAAACAGAUAAAGUUGACUUGAGUUUCAUGAAAUAUGAAUACUUGCACAGUUAACCAAUAAGAUUAAACAAUUUUAUAAACAUAUUUUACAAGUAAAGAUGUACUAUUUAUAAGAAAAUACAUAUAUGAUUUGGCUGAGUGAAUUCAGAGGGGUUUAUUGUUUCUUUCUGAAAAUAACAAGCCCUGAUUUUGUGCAUACUCUGGCAUGUGAGGGGAUCAGCAAUAAACAAAGGGGACCUGUACUUUGUCAUUCAUGACCACAAGUAGGAAAAUAUUUGAAAAGAAAAAUAGUCGUAAGACUUUGUUGGCAGAGAUGAACAUAAUGUCAGAAAUGUUCUAAAAUAAUUCAAGCAAUAAAAAUUAAAAGUCCAAGAGAAUGGAACAGAAAAGAAAGUUUUUCAACAGAGCAUGAUGGGAGAACCUGGUCAAGGAGAAAAUUGAAGACAAAGACAGAUCCAAAUUUGAAUAGUAAUGAAAUAUUUUACAAAUUUAGAAUUUUUAAGGCAUUACAUAGUUUUAGGUCAUUGAUUUUUAAGGCUUACACCUACAUAAGACACAAAACCUUUUAUUACUGAGCAAAAUUUGAGGAGCUGCGUUUUCUCAUUGACAGAGAAUUAAAAGGAUUAUUUCAAAAGCCAAAAUGAGUGCGAUAAAAGAAGAGCCAUGCUUGUAAUUGGGAAGAUUAAAAAUGUGACCAUUCUAAAUAAUCAAAGGUAAAUCGGUAGUGUCUUUUGCAAUCUGUCAAAAGGUGAAUAGAAUAAAAUUUAAAAUCUGUAUUCAUGGCUCACUUCUCUAUUCUUGUAUACACCCCAUCUGAUCAUGGUGAUUUCCCCACUGCUUUGCAUUAAUAUUAAAUAGAUGAAUAGCCAGGAGGUGAACCAGAGUUUCUAACUUAUGGUGUGAACUAAGUUGUGGAUCAUUUUAUACAGAUAAAAAAAUGCAUUAUGUGAUAGAUAAAUAGCUCAAGAGUAAAUCAUACUUUGCAACCCACUCUGUAACCCAUGUAAGAGACUAUUUUGUAUGAGGAAAUGUGUGGGGGACUGAUAAAAUUCCUUACACUACCACCUUGUAUAGAGAAACAAACACAGCAUUUGUCUCUAACAUUGUAGGCCUUCAUAGUGGAUAACAUGCUUUGAGGUACAUUUGAAAUAUUUUUGUUAUAUUUCAGCAAUGUUGGAGUCAUCAGUUAAAUUCUGAUUUGAAAUCCAUCUACAACAGCAGCAUUUCCUAUGGAGGAAAAGCUUAAAUCAGAGACAACAUUAUGAGCAGAGUCACUAAUAUAAAUUAGACAGACUACUGAUUUUACAGUUUCUAUUAGAAAAAUGACAAGUAAUUUUAUCUAUAUGCAUGCUCUGUUAUUUUUAUAUUUUCCCACUUAUCAUUCUAAAAAUAUUGGAGUGGGCAACAAAAAUAUUUCAAAUUAGAAUUCUGCAUUUUAUUUGCUUCCCUGAAUUCAUUUACUAUAAAUAUAAAAUUGUUUAUUCCUUAAUUAAAUUAAAAAUGCAAAUAUUCUUUAUUUCAGCUAUUCCACUAUAUAUUUAGAUAUGAUUUAUAGAUUCCUUUUUCUCUAUGUAAACAUUUUUGUAACAUUGUAAUUUUUCAUAUUUUAUACAAAAAUAAGGUAAAGCCUGUAUCUUUGUAGAAAAGUUCAAAAGAUAGAAACAGUACUGAAAUAUUCUAUGAAAUUAGGUCUUAUUUUUUUUGUGAUUUCCAGAGUUUGAUUUAAAGAAAAGUUUAACAUUUUAAUCUUAUAAAUUACGUUUGCAUGCCAAACAAAUCUGCACCCAUUGUCUCUUAGUGAUGAGAUAUAAAUAUAUGGGGCUUACAUUUCUUCUCAAGUUUGAAUACUCACUGUUUUCAGAGUUUAUAAAUCUUAGUUCAGUAAAAUAAAAUUAUGAAAUGUAAAAUAAUUUUGAUAGGUCUAUAUGACAAAGUUUUGACCAAUAUAGUUAUUUGCUUUUCAUUGUUAUUACUACCAAAUAUGCUAGUUGUGAAACAAUUUUGCUUGCACAGGAUUAGAACUGAAUGAUGCAGGCAUUCUACCUGUCAACAUACAGGGUUCUCUGCCAACUAUUUAAACAUUUCUCAUCGUGACUCAAGUAGAUGCUUGCAUCUUUGUUUCUCCCAGUAUUUAACAAUACAUAGUCUAUAAGCUGACUAAAUUUUAAUCAUGAUUCUGAGUAUGACUAAAACACUUAUACAUUGCUUUUGACUGUAGUAACUGCUACUUCAACUUCCUGUUUUCCAUGUUUCAGAAUCUGAAACAAACGUUAAGACAUUCAGCUCUGGGAAAAGUUACUUACAUGCAUAGGUAUUUGGAAAUUGUCAGCCUCUUCUAUUGGAUUGCAAGCUUUGUAAGAACAAUGGCAGUGUUUUACUUUUCAUUCAUUCUGGCUCUGUUUUAGAAUUUGCCAUAGUGAGAGAAGCCUUCAUAAACAAACAUGCAAUUUCCUUGAGCAUUUCCCUCUUACCCCCUACUACUCCAUUAGUUAUUAUUUUAUAUAGCAGGAUUCAUGCACUUUCUAAAAUCUAACACACAACUUGGAAAUAUUUUGGAUGCACUAAAAUAAAUUACACUGUUGAUAGAUACUAAAUCCUAAUUCAGUAAUCUUGUAGAUAAUUAUUAUGAUUUUAAUGACAAAUGCAAGAAUCUCUAUUUGAUACUGAUCAAAAUUCCUGUUUGUACUUUUAAGAGAAUGGAACAUUAUUUAGAUUAUAUGCAUGAAGGACUUAAAAUAGCUUAAGGUAAACAGUAAUAUAUGUAUAAGUCAAGCAAAUAUAUAAGAUUUACAAUAAAAUUAUUAUUAGCAUCAGUGUGUUUAUCUUUGUGAUAAGCUUUUCUUUAAAUCUUUUUGUUUGUUUGUUUGUUUUGUUUUUGUUUUUGUUUUUCGAAACAGGAUUUCUCUGUGUAGCUUUGAGCCUCUUCCUGGAACUCACUUGGUAGCCCAGGCUGGCCUCGAACUCACAGAGAUCUGCCUGGCUCUGGCUCUGCCUCCUGAGUGCUGGGAUUAAAGGCGUGUGCCAUCACCACCCGGCUAAAGCUGUUUUUGAUGAACUGCAGUUUGAGAAUAAAAACUGAAGAAGUUUGCUACAUCAGAAUAAUCAACAUAGAAUACUACAUUCCUAAGGCUGAAUCAUUCAGUAAAAGCUUGUAAAAUGUAACUUAUUAUUAUAUCCAUUCAUUUCUGUUUUAAGCUUAACUAAAACAGAUGUAAAAUGAUUCAUUUAGUUUCCCUAUGAGGAAAGCAAGUAAACUACCAGUCUUCUAAGCAGCUUUUGAAAGCUUCAGGCUACUCUUGUUUCUUGCUGGAUGUGGAGUCGUUGUUCAUUCCUUUGUUUUUAAGAAAUGUGCUAAGACCUACAACUUGCCCACUGUAAAGCAAAAGCAAGGGCUCUUUCAUCCCCUCUUCACCUGCAGUGGCCUUACUCUGAGGCAUUAUGACUUCAUUCAACAGCAGGCGUAUUUCAAGACAACAAUGAACACAGCUUCCUGCUUGAAAAAAUGUGCUAACCCUUUUGGCUGAGCCCUAAGACA